rnacentral:rRNA from 1 species
UACGUAGGGUGCGAGCGUUGCCCGGAUUUAUUGGGCGUAAAGGGCGCAUAGGCGGCUCGGCACGUCCGUUGUGAAAUCGCCCGGCUCAACUGGGCGGGGUCAGCGGAUACGGUCGAGCUUGAGCAAGCUAGGGGGCAAUGGAAUUCCCGGUGUAGUGGUGGAAUGCGUAGAUAUCGGGAGGAACACCAGUGGCGAAGGCGACUACCUGGCCUGUUCUUGACGCUGAGGCGCGAAAGCUAGGGGAGCAAACGGG